rnacentral:rRNA from 1 species
ACUUAAAUUGAAGAGUUUGAUCAUGGCUCAGAUUGAACGCUGGCGGCAGGCCUAACACAUGCAAGUCGAGCGGUAGCACAGAGAGCUUGCUCUCGGGUGACGAGCGGCGGACGGGUGAGUAAUGUCUGGGAAACUGCCUGAUGGAGGGGGAUAACUACUGGAAACGGUAGCUAAUACCGCAUAACGUCGCAAGACCAAAGUGGGGGACCUUCGGGCCUCAUGCCAUCAGAUGUGCCCAGAUGGGAUUAGCUAGUAGGUGGGGUAACGGCUCACCUAGGCGACGAUCCCUAGCUGGUCUGAGAGGAUGACCAGCCACACUGGAACUGAGACACGGUCCAGACUCCUACGGGAGGCAGCAGUGGGGAAUAUUGCACAAUGGGCGCAAGCCUGAUGCAGCCAUGCCGCGUGUGUGAAGAAGGCCUUCGGGUUGUAAAGCACUUUCAGCGGGGAGGAAGGCGGUGAGGUUAAUAACCUCAUCGAUUGACGUUACCCGCAGAAGAAGCACCGGCUAACUCCGUGCCAGCAGCCGCGGUAAUACGGAGGGUGCAAGCGUUAAUCGGAAUUACUGGGCGUAAAGCGCACGCAGGCGGUCUGUCAAGUCGGAUGUGAAAUCCCCGGGCUCAACCUGGGAACUGCAUUCGAAACUGGCAGGCUAGAGUCUUGUAGAGGGGGGUAGAAUUCCAGGUGUAGCGGUGAAAUGCGUAGAGAUCUGGAGGAAUACCGGUGGCGAAGGCGGCCCCCUGGACAAAGACUGACGCUCAGGUGCGAAAGCGUGGGGAGCAAACAGGAUUAGAUACCCUGGUAGUCCACGCCGUAAACGAUGUCGAUUUGGAGGUUGUGCCCUUGAGGCGUGGCUUCCGGAGCUAACGCGUUAAAUCGACCGCCUGGGGAGUACGGCCGCAAGGUUAAAACUCAAAUGAAUUGACGGGGGCCCGCACAAGCGGUGGAGCAUGUGGUUUAAUUCGAUGCAACGCGAAGAACCUUACCUGGUCUUGACAUCCACAGAACUUUCCAGAGAUGGAUUGGUGCCUUCGGGAACUGUGAGGCAGGUGCUGCAUGGCUGUCGUCAGCUCGUGUUGUGAAAUGUUGGGUUAAGUCCCGCAACGAGCGCAACCCUUAUCCUUUGUUGCCAGCGGUCCGGCCGGGAACUCAAAGGAGACUGCCAGUGAUAAACUGGAGGAAGGUGGGGAUGACGUCAAGUCAUCAUGGCCCUUACGACCAGGGCUACACACGUGCUACAAUGGCAUAUACAAAGAGAAGCGACCUCGCGAGAGCAAGCGGACCUCAUAAAGUAUGUCGUAGUCCGGAUUGGAGUCUGCAACUCGACUCCAUGAAGUCGGAAUCGCUAGUAAUCGUAGAUCAGAAUGCUACGGUGAAUACGUUCCCGGGCCUUGUACACACCGCCCGUCACACCAUGGGAGUGGGUUGCAAAAGAAGUAGGUAGCUUAACCUUCGGGAGGGCGCUUACCACUUUGUGAUUCAUGACUGGGGUGAAGUCGUAACAAGGUAACCGUAGGGGAACCUGCGGUUGGAUCACCUCCUUACCUUAAAGAA